rnacentral:snRNA from 1 species
AUACCUUUCUCGGCCUUUUGGCUAAGAUCAAGUGUAGUAUCUGUUCUUAUCAGUUUAAUAUCUGAUAUGUGAGCCAAUGGCUCACACGAUAUUAACUCAAUUUCUUUAGGGGAAAGGCCCAUUAAGGAAGCUUGCUUCUUGGGCCUUUGAGUGUCGCCUUGGUUUUGCACUAUUGCCUUGGCUUGGCACACCCCAA